UGAAGCGGGGGAUAGAACAUGGUUGCCAUACCAGAACCAUUCUCUUUAUGGAUAAAUGUUAGUGGCCGUUUCCAUACAGGUGUCUCGCUGCCACUGACAGAAAACUUUCCAUAAAUGAUGAAGACGUCCAACUCGCAGCGAGAUACUACAUGACACCAGACUACGAGUCCAUAAUCCAAACAGAGGGUGCCGUAUUCACUCACCGUAACCAUCAGCCAUGUGUUCGUUUACGGAUACCUACCUACCUUCCGGAUAUUCUAGUAAACGCCUGUCAACGGGAGUGCGCAGAUUUUCCGAGAUUCAUCUUUC